rnacentral:rRNA from 1 species
GAUGAACGCUGGCGGCGUGCCUAAUACAUGCAAGUCGAGCGAACAGACGAGGAGCUUGCUCCUCUGACGUUAGCGGCGGACGGGUGAGUAACACGUGGAUAACCUACCUAUAAGACUGGGAUAACUUCGGGAAACCGGAGCUAAUACCGGAUAAUAUAUUGAACCGCAUGGUUCAAUAGUGAAAGACGGUUUUGCUGUCACUUAUAGAUGGAUCCGCGCCGCAUUAGCUAGUUGGUAAGGUAACGGCUUACCAUGGCAACGAUGCGUAGCCGACCUGAGAGGGUGAUCGGCCACACUGGAACUGAGACACGGUCCAGACUCCUACGGGAGGCAGCAAUAGGGAAUCUUCCGCAAUGGGCGAAAGCCUGACGGAGCAACGCCGCGUGAGUGAUGAAGGUCUUCGGAUCGUAAAACUCUGUUAUUAGGGAAGAACAAAUGUGUAAGUAACUAUGCACGUCUUGACGGUACCUAAUCAGAAAGCCACGGCUAACUACGUG